UGAUCCCUUUCGCUGUAUAGAAUGCUCGUUUGGGUUGGGCGUCGGCUAAGAGUGCUCGGAGCGUGGAUUAAUUCCAGUCUCCUAUCAGGUGUGUAUUUCUCACUACUCUAGCUGUAGGAUGGCUACUUCGGGCCGCGAUGGGCCGAAAGGGGCUAUGUGGGCCCAAUGGGCCCGUAGGCCCAAUUGGAUAAGUUGUUUGAUUGUGUAGUAAAUAUUGGACUAGGCUAGGUGAAUCUCAUAUUUGUGACUAGAUUUGGGCUAAAAGGGUCACACGAGCGUGUGGGCCCAUUUGGGCCGAGAAUAGGCUUUAGGCCCAUUCGUAUUGUUAUCCCUAUUUAGAAUACUUUAGUUUACCAAAUUACUGAAAUGCCCUCAAUUUGUAGAAUUACCAUUUUACCCUCGAUUCAUAGAAUUAUCAUUUUACCCUCAAUUUAUAGAAUUACCAUUUUACCCUUGAUUUACAGAAUUACCAUUUUACCCUCGAUCAGUAAAAUUACCAAAACACCCUAGUCUGUAAAAUUGUUAAAAUACCCCUGGUUUGUAAAAUUACCAAAAUACCCCUAGUUUGUAAAGUUACCAAAAUACCACUAGUUUGUGAAAUUACCGAAAUACCCUCAAUUUGUAAAAUUACCAAAAUACCCCUGAUUUACAAAAUUACAGAAAUAUCAUUGACUUUUUAAAAAUUAUAGAAAUACCAUUGGUUUACAAAAUUACUGAAAUACCCUUGGUUUGUAGAUUUACCAAAACACCCUUAUAGGAUGAAACGACUAAAAUACCCCUAAUAGGUAAAAAGACCGUAAAGCCCCUGUAGGGUAAAGUGACCGUAAUACCCUUGUAUGGUAAAAUGACGAAUAUGCCCUUAUGUUCCAUAUGACUGAUGUGCUUAGGAUUUACAUAUAUUGAUAUUGGAUUAGUUAAGUUUGAGUGACAGGUGGUGGUUAUCGUAGGUGAUUGAUUAUGGAAACGUUUUAACUUCAACCCAUAACAGGUGUGUACUAACCCUCGUAAUAGCUUAGAUUAAUAUUUGUUGAGAAGCCCAAAUGCUAAAAUACCGGUAUUUCGGGAACUUGUAAUGUUGUGUUUGGGUAUAGAUGCGAUAAAUAUGAUAUGAUCGGUGUUUGGAUCGAUGGAACAGGCAAGAACUCAAUUUUGUGCACGAUGGUAAGUUGGGCCUCAAUGGGCUGGAAUCGGGCCCAAUGGGCUUCGGGCCCAAUUGGGUAAAAUUGAUAGAAAAUGGAAUCUGGAAAAGUUGCAUGUUAACACAAUUAGUACUGUUGUAAAAUUUGGAUUAUGUGGGCUUAAUGGGCUAAAUCGGCAUUCGUAGGGCCCAUUAGAGGUUUUGGGCCCAAAAGCCCGAGUUUGAUAAAGUGGGUUAAAGAUCAUUAUUUAAACACUCGAAAAUAUUGAUAAUUGUUGAUGAACAUGGAAAACCCUGAUAUUUGGUAAAAUUACAAAUUACCCUUAUAAUGUGAAAAUGACUGUUUUUCCCCUAGGGUUUAUUUAUAAAUUUGAUACGUGGGGUAUGAUAUACAUGAUUGAUAUGAUAUGCACAUGAUAUGUAUAAUAUGCACAUGAUAUGUAUGAAAUGCACAUGAUAAAUUCAUAAAUGCAUUAGGUUGGGUUUUUAUAUGGAUGGAGGAAGUGCAAAAGGGCUUAUGCCCCAGUUUAUUGAAAAGGGCUUAUGCCCCAGUUUACCGAAAAGGGCUUAUGCCCCAGUUUAUUGAAAAAGGGCUUAUGCCCCAGUUUACUGAAAAGGGCUUAUGCUCCAGUUUAUUGAAAAAUACUUUGCCCCAGUUUACCGAAAAGGGCUUUGCCCCAGUUAUUAAAGAGGCUAGGCCUCCAGAUAUAUGAUAAAGCAGCUAUGCAGCCAGUGGUGUGUUGGUUGGGUGGGUUGAGUUAUUCCCCACAUGGUGUGUUGGUUGGUACAGGUGGAGAGUAGCAGAUGGUGGGUUGAGUAGUCUCCCCAAAUAGGCUUGCAUACAUUUAUUGGUAUUUCAUGUGAUAUUGAAAUGGGCUUGCAUACAUUCAUUGAUAUUUCAUGUGUUAUUGAAAUGGGCCUAUGGGCCAUACUGUUUACAAUAAAGGCUUCGGCCUAGUAACCGUUAAACGAAAGGCUUCGACCCAGUAUAUGUCGAGACUAAAUAGGGCUUUGGCCCAGAUUGUACUGAUACUGUGUUUUCACUGUUUGUUUGUUAUUGGUAUUACACACUGAGUUUUUGUAAACUCACCCCGUUUCUAACUGUGCAGGUAAUCCCUAAGCUUAGAUGGUUUGGAGCUGCGAGGGACUCGGAGAUGGCCACACUACUGUUUCUGUUUCUUUUAAUUGCAAUAAGUAGCCGAUUUAUUUCUUUAUAAGUUUUAUCUUAUUAAUAUUAUUGUUUGGUUUUGG
rnacentral:lncRNA from 1 species